UACGUAGGGACCAAGCGUUGUUCGGAUUUACUGGGCGUAAAGGGCGCGUAGGCGGCGCGGUAAGUCACUUGUGAAAUCUCUGAGCUUAACUCAGAACGGCCAAGUGAUACUGCAGUGCUAGAGUGUGGAAGGGGCAAUCGGAAUUCUUGGUGUAGCGGUGAAAUGCGCAGAUAUCAGGAAGAACACCCGUGGCGAAGGCGGCUCUCUGGGACGGUACUGACGCUGAGGAGCGAAAGCGUGGGGAGCGAACAGG
rnacentral:rRNA from 1 species